UACGAAGGGGGCUAGCGUUGUUCGGAAUUAUUGGGCGUAAAGCGCACGUAGGCGGACAUUUAAGUCAGGGGUGAAAUCCCGGAGCUCAACUCCGGAACUGCCUUUGAUACUGGGUGUCUUGAGUGUGGAAGAGGUGAGUGGAAUUCCGAGUGUAGAGGUGAAAUUCGUAGAUAUUCGGAGGAACACCAGUGGCGAAGGCGGCGCACUGGUCCAUUACUGACGCUGAGGCACGAAGGUCAGGGGAGCAAACGGG
rnacentral:rRNA from 1 species